rnacentral:rRNA from 1 species
AUACGUAGGGGGCGAGCGUUGUCCGGAAUGAUUGGGCGUAAAGGGCGCGUAGGCGGCGCGGUAAGUCUGGAGUGAAAGUCCUGCUUUCAAGGUGGGAAUUGCUUUGGAUACUGCCGCGCUUGAGUGCAGGAGAGGUUAUCGGAAUUCCCGGUGUAGAGGUGAAAUGCGUAGAGAUCGGGAGGAACACCAGUGGCGAAGGCGGGUAACUGGACUGCAACUGACGCUGAGGCGCGAAAGUGUGGGGAGCAAACAGGAUUAGAUACCCUGGUAGUCCACACUGUAAACGAUGAAUGCUAGGUGUAAGAGGUAUCGACCCCUUUUGUGCCGGAGUCAACACAAUAAGCAUUCCGCCUGGGGAGUACGGCCGCAAGGUUGAAACUCAAAGGAAUUGACGGGG